ACUCAAAUGAAUUGACGGGGGCCCGCACAAGCGGUGGAACAUGUGGUUUAAUUCGAUGCAACGCGAAGAACCUUACCUGGGCUUGACAUCUACGGAACCUUCUGGAAACAGGAGGGUGCCUUCGGGAGCCGUAAGACAGGUGGUGCACGGUUGUCGUCAGCUCGUGUCGUGAGAUGUUGGGUUAAGUCCCGCAACGAGCGCAACCCUCGUGGUCUGUUGUUACAGGUCGUAAGAUGCUGAACCCUCAGGCCAGACUGCCGGUGACAAACCGGAGGAAGGUGGGGAUGACGUCAAAUCAUCACGCCCCUUAUGUCCAGGGCUACACACGUGUUACAAUGGGUAAGAGACAAUGGGUCGCUUGGCAGCGAUGUCUGGCAAAUCCCAGAAACUCUCCCUCAGUUCGGAUCGUAGUCUGCAACUCGACUACGUGAAGUCGGAAUCGCUAGUAAACGCAGAUCAGCACGCUGCGUUGAAUACGUUCCCGGGCCUUGUACACACCGCCCGU
rnacentral:rRNA from 1 species